rnacentral:rRNA from 1 species
GACGAACGCUGGCGGCGCGCCUAACACAUGCAAGUCGAACGAGCAAGAGAGAGCUUGCUUUCUCAAGCGAGUGGCGAACGGGUGAGUAACGCGUGAGGAACCUGCCUCAAAGAGGGGGACAACAGUUGGAAACGACUGCUAAUACCGCAUAAGCCCAUGACCCGGCAUCGGGUAGAGGGAAAAGGAGCAAUCCGCUUUGAGAUGGCCUCGCGUCCGAUUAGCUAGUUGGUGAGGUAACGGCCCACCAAGGCGACGAUCGGUAGCCGGACUGAGAGGUUGAACGGCCACAUUGGGACUGAGACACGGCCCAGACUCCUACGGGAGGCAGCAGUGGGGAAUAUUGCACAAUGGGGGAAACCUUGAUGCAGCGACGCCGCGUGGAGGAAGAAGGUCUUCGGAUUGUAAACUCCUGUUGUUGAGGAAGAUAAUGACGGUACUCAACAAGGAAGUGACGGCUAACUACGUGCCAGCAGCCGCGGUAAAACGUAGGUCACAAGCGUUGUCCGGAAUUACUGGGUGUAAAGGGAGCGCAGGCGGGAAGACAAGUUGGAAGUGAAAUCCAUGGGCUCAACCCAUGAACUGCUUUCAAAACUGUUUUUCUUGAGUAGUGCAGAGGUAGGCGGAAUUCCCGGUGUAGCGGUGGAAUGCGUAGAUAUCGGGAGGAACACCAGUGGCGAAGGCGGCCUACUGGGCACCAACUGACGCUGAGGCUCGAAAGUGUGGGUAGCAAACAGGAUUAGAUACCCUGGUAGUCCACACUGUAAACGAUGAUUACUAGGUGUUGGAGGAUUGACCCCUUCAGUGCCGCAGUUAACACAAUAAGUAAUCCACCUGGGGAGUACGACCGCAAGGUUGAAACUCAAAGGAAUUGACGGGGGCCCGCACAAGCAGUGGAGUAUGUGGUUUAAUUCGACGCAACGCGAAGAACCUUACCAAGUCUUGACAUCCUGCGACGGUGCUGGAAACAGUACUUUCCUUCGGGACGCAGAGACAGGUGGUGCAUGGUUGUCGUCAGCUCGUGUCGUGAGAUGUUGGGUUAAGUCCCGCAACGAGCGCAACCCUUAUGGUCAGUUACUACGCAAGAGGACUCUGGCCAGACUGCCGUUGACAAAACGGAGGAAGGUGGGGAUGACGUCAAAUCAUCAUGCCCUUUAUGACUUGGGCUACACACGUACUACAAUGGCGUUAAACAAAGAGAAGCAAGACCGCGAGGUGGAGCAAAACUCAGAAACAACGUCCCAGUUCGGACUGCAGGCUGCAACUCGCCUGCACGAAGUCGGAAUUGCUAGUAAUCGCAGAUCAGCAUGCUGCGGUGAAUACGUUCCCGGGCCU